rnacentral:rRNA from 1 species
GUCCGCGGAGCGAUAGCACGUUUUCUUGAUCAGUUUUAAAUGGAUCAUUGGAGUUAAGCAACGAUGAGCAUGGUAAGUAUCCAGAUGAGUGAUCAUCUUGCAAUCACGUGCUGCGGACU